GAAAUCUUCAUCGUUUUUCAAAUGGAAAGGUUGUUCAGCAACCCUUUCUUGGUUGUUUUCUUCUACUUGUUUCAGACUUUCCGUAGCUGACAAUCCAAUCCCAGACGAAGAGUCCUGAAGGUGUGACGUACUUUUAUCUAGUGGGUUGCUCGCUUCAAGUUCAUGGUUUGCCCAGGAAUCAUUGUUUCCAUGCAGGGUUUUCCAUCUUGAAAGGUAAGAUGAGGGCGGUGAACCUGAUGAUCCCGUUUUGCCAUUACCAAGAACUGGAAAUUCAGCUUCCAAAAAUUCAUGGCCGCCUCCCGUAUAUAGGCUGAGUUCUCGUGGAGUUGCAGACAAUUGAUUGCUGCGAUCUUGCCUUUGCAAUUGAGUUCCAGUCAUCUGUCCUUGACUCCUUCCCUUUGCUUGAGAUUGCCUGCCUCUACAAGUAUUCUGCAAAUAAUCAACCAAGUCAUCAUUACAAU
rnacentral:misc_RNA from 1 species